rnacentral:rRNA from 1 species
GUAGAUGCGGGGCCAGGAGCGUCGUUAGUGCGUAGAGGGUGAGCGUGUGACUGCAUUAGUGGGGGUAGAGGGGGCGCAGGGGGUCCGGUAAGGUUGGUGUGAAAGCCCACGGCUGAACCGGGGGGGGUCAUUUGAAUCUGGGGGAGUUGAGUGCAGAAGAGGAAAGCGGAAUUCCACGUGUAGCGGUGAAAUGCGUAGAGAUGUGGAGGAACACCAGUGGCGAAGGCGGCUUUCUGGUCUGUAACUGACGCUGAGGCGCGAAAGCGUGGGGAGCAAACAGGAUUAGAUACCCUGGUAGUC